rnacentral:rRNA from 1 species
CCUACGGGAGGCAGCAGUGAGGAAUUUUCCGCAAUGGGCGAAAGCCUGACGGAGCAAUACCGCGUGAGGGAUGAAGGAUUUUGGUCUGUAAACCUCUUUUCUCAAGAAAGAAGUUCUGACGGUACUUGAGGAAUAAGCAUCGGCUAACUCCGUGCCAGCAGCCGCGGUAAUACGGGGGAUGCAAGCGUUAUCCGGAAUGAUUGGGCGUAAAGCGCCUGUAGGUUGUUUAUUAAGUCCGUUGUUAAAGCCUAGGGCUCAACCCUAGAAAAGCAAUGGAAACUAGUAGACUAGAGUAUGGCAGGGGUAGAGGGAAUUUCUAGUGUAGCGGUGAAAUGCGUAGAUAUUAGAAAGAACACCGGUGGCGAAAGCGCCCUACUGGACCAUUACUGACACUCAGAGGCGAAAGCUAGGGUAGCAAAAGGGAUUAGAUACCCCUGUAGUCCUAGCCGUAAACGAUGGAUACUAGAUGUUGUGCAUUAUGUACAGUAUCGUAGCUAACGCGUUAAGUAUCCCGCCUGGGGAGUACGCUCGCAAGGGUGAAACUCAAAUGAAUUGACGG